AGUAACACGUGGAUAACCUACCUAUAAGACUGGGAUAACUUCGGGAAACCGGAGCUAAUACCUGAUAAUAUUUUGAACCGCAUGGUUCAAAAGUGAAAGACGGUCUUGCUGUCACUUAUAGAUGGAUCCGCGCUGCAUUAGCUAGUUGGUAAGGUAACGGCUUACCAAGGCAACGAUGCAUAGCCGACCUGAGAGGGUGAUCGGCCACACUGGAACUGAGACACGGUCCAGACUCCUACGGGAGGCAGCAGUC
rnacentral:rRNA from 1 species